UAAGAGGUCCCGCCUGCCCCGUGAUUUAAUUUAACGGCCGCGGUAUCUUGACCGUGCAAAGGUAGCAUAAUCAAUUGUUCUUUAAAUAAGGACUAGUAUGAAUGGCAUUACGAGGGUUUAACUGUCUCCCUAUUUUAAUCAAUGAAAUUGAUCUUCCCGUGAAGAAGCGGGAAUAUAACUAUAAGACGAAAAGACCCCAUGGAGCUUUAAACUUAUUUUCAAUUACCAAAAUCCAAAACAUAUACCUGGUAAAAAUGAUAAUCGUUUUCGGUUGGGGCGACCCUGGAGAAAAAUAAAUCCUCCAAGCUGAAUAGAUUAAAAAUCUAAUGUUAGAGUAACAACUCAAACAAUCAAAAUCUUGACAAAAUGACCCAGAAUUUAUCUGAUCAACGAACCAAGUUACCCUGGGGAUAACAGCGCAAUCCAUUUCAAGAGCCCCUAUCGACAAAUGGGUUUACGACCUCGAUGUUGGAUCGGGAUAUCCUAGCAGCGCAGCCGUUGCUU
rnacentral:rRNA from 1 species